GCUUUCUUCCCCCAGAUUUGAUAGUGUAAGUUAUAGAGAAACCUUUAAGCUCCGAGGGAAAGAGC
rfam:Sarcophilus harrisii ctg7180001562428, whole genome shotgun sequence.